ensembl:lncRNA
CUUAAAUUAAAAUCAAAAAAUUAAAAGCUAGUUGCUUUUAGGGGUGCCUGGGUGGCUCAGUUGGUUAUGCGUCCGACUUCAGCCCAGGUCAUAAUCUUGUGGUUUGUGGGUUUGAGCCCCAUGUGAGGCUCUGUGCUGAAAGCUCAGAGCCUAGAGCCUGCUUCAGAUUCUGUGUCUCCCUCUCUUUCUGCCCCUCCUCUCUCUCUCUCUCCCCCCCCCUCUCUCUCUCUCUCAAAAAUAAGUAAACAAAAAAAUUUUUAAAAAGCUAGUAGCUUUUGAUAUCUCUCAUGGUUCUGUGACUUGAAUGGGCUCAGCUGGGCAGUUCUCCUGAUCUCAUUUGGAUUCUUAUAAUGUGACAAUAAGGUGGCAGCUGGGACUGGGAGCAUCUGAAGUCAAUUGGCAGGCUAUGAUGGCCACGCUUCCCUCUCUCUCCAAGUAGCCCGAAGCCUCUUCUCUCCACUUGGAAGCCUCUUCUCUCCACACCUAAACACAGGGAAAUGGAAUAAUAUGAGACAGUGAAUCUAAGGGUUGCUUUGCCAUCUUUGCAGAUAUUCAUGAGGUGAGAGCUUUUCAUUUGUGCAUAAUAGUUCUGUAAACGGCCCUAACAAAAUUAUAACCAUAGCACUACUGAAGUCACUGUAUAGGGAACACCAUGACAUUAAAGGGUAUAAAAUCUUUAAUAUUUUAACUCUGGCCUAAUCACAAGAUGAUUAUCUCGGAUGCCUUGGCAUUCUUUGUGUGUGUGGAAUGAGGGAGGAGGUGAUGGAUGAAUUACUAAUAGAGGAAUGGCCUGAACAUGCAUUCUGGACACUUGGACUGUGUCGGAUCUGUGCAUCAGUGGGAGAGAGCGAGAGGAAAUUAUGGGAAGAACAAUACAAACAAACCCUUGAAUAUCUAAAUUUAUUCAGGAAACAUUACAUGCAACUGAAUUUUUCUGUUCAGUUCUAAGUCUUAAGAAAUGAAGCCAUCUUCAUUUCUUGUUUUAUCAUCACAAACAUCAAUCUCUCUUCUUUUUUCUCAUCUUCCAGGAUAUCUGGGAGACUCCAAGAGCUCACAUGAUAAUGUUCUUGAUCUGGACAGGAGAACAAGGAACACUGAGAUGAAGAUCAGUCUCUGUUGUCUAAUGACAUGUAUAUCUGGUGACCUUGCCAGGCAGUCACUACGACUUCUUAUCUCCCCCCAAACACAGCAGCUGCUCUCCUACUCUUCCUUCACCAGGUGGAAUCAAAUGGAGCUGGGAGGCCAUUAAGGAGAUGGACAUUAUGUAUGUCUUCACCAGUUGGAACCAGGAACUUCUCAACUGGACCAAGUCACAAAAAUUCCAAGGAUCCUAUAAGAACACGUGCAGCUUGCUCUGGUAAGAGACUUUUGCUUAAUGUUAGCCUUAGGAACCGAUUAUGUUCAGCCAAGAUUAGCUCUGAGACACCAUUACCAAUCAAAAGUCUUUGUAAGCAACGUCUAUAAAAGGUUCCUUAUUUGUUUUAAAACUUCUGACUUAUGUUCCCUGGUGGCAUACUGAUCAUUUUGCUGCCCAAAUCUUCCCAAAAUUGCAAUUCUUUGAUCUUGAAUAAACAUUUUUGCUAAAUUGUUGCCUCUUUACA